rnacentral:lncRNA from 1 species
CCCGACUCAGGUCUGACUGGCUGUAGACUGUACGCACAGUGGAGAAUGGACUACGACUCCCAGCAUACCCGACUCCGCUACCGCCAGCGCCUAGAGGAGCGGAGAGUCAGAAUUCCCGGCGCUGGGCCGGCCCUGGAAAGCGCAGAUGGGCGUGUAGGACUUGGCAACAUAGAUUGAGGGUCUGAAAGGCCUGCGCUGCGCUAGUGAGAGGCUAACCUACAGAUUCUGCGGCGCCCAGAACUGCUAUGGAGAGCAGGUGCUACGGCUGUGCUGUCAAGUUCACCCUCUUCAAGAAGGAGUACGGCUGUAAGAACUGUGGCCGAGCCUUCUGUAAUGGCUGUCUUAGCUUCAGCGCACUGGUACCCCGGGCUGGCAACACACAACAGAAAGUCUGCAAGCAGUGCCACACAGUCCUGACCAGAGGGUCUUCUGACACUGCCUCCAAGUGGUCGCCACCUCAGAACUAUAAGAAGUAAGUACUUCAAAGAAGACAAGCGGGGCUGGGAAAAGACAAUAUCACCACGUCGUUAUCUCUCCUUCCAGUCUCCAGAUCAAAUGGGUGCAGGACAGAGAGAAUGCCCACGUCCGGGCUCCUGGCUUCCCUCGUGGAUCCUGACAGCCGCUCAUUAACCAGUUAUCAAUAAAGGCAUUUGGGAGCUCUUACCCUGUCAGUCUUCCCUCCUGCUGGUCAUCUGGGUUGGGCUGUGGUACCAUAGGAAUAGAGGCCCAGAUUGAUUUGAAUGGGUACCUUCAGUCUUCUCUUUAACCUUAAGGGUCUCUAUCUCACAUUCACCCAGACGCGUGGCAGCCUUGGAAGCCAAGAAAAAGUCCAGCGCUUCCCAGAGCCAAGGCCUGACCCACAAAGACCAAGCCAUUGCUGAGCGUCUGGCACGGCUUCGUCAGGAAAACAAGCCCAGUGAGCGGGAGUGGGUCAGGGGACCUAAAAGGCACACGCCGGGACUGAGGACUGAGCUUCCUCUGACCCUUACAAAUCCUCUCCUUGUCAACCGCAG